UCCGGUUUGGCACCGGCAGUCCUCCCAGAGUCCUCGGCAUGACCCGGUAGCAACUGGGAGCGGGGGUUGCGCUCGUUGCGGGACUUAACCCAACAUCUCACGACACGAGCUGACGACAGCCAUGCAGCACCUGUCUCCAGGUUCCCGAAGGCACCCCCACAUCUCUGCGGGGUUCCUGGGAUGUCAAGACCAGGUAAGGUUCUUCGCGUUGCAUCGAAUUAAACCGCAUGCUCCACCGCUUGUGCGAGCCCCCGUCAAUUCCUUUGAGUUUCAGUCUUGCGACCGUACUCCCCAGGCGGCGAACUUAACGCGUUAGCUUCGAUACUGCGUGCCAAAUUGCACCCAACAUCCAGUUCGCAUCGUUUAGGGCGUGGACUAC
rnacentral:misc_RNA from 1 species